AGCCCAAACCAACAAGCUUGCUUGUUGGGGUUGUAGGACACUCUAUACGGAGUUACAAAAGAACAUGUUAGACGAAUCAUCUGGAAAGAUGAAUCAAAGAAGGUAAUAAUCCUGUAGUCGAAAACAUAUUCUCUCUUGAGUGGAUCCUGAGUACGACGGAGCACGUGAAAUUCCGUCGGAAUCUGGGAGGACCAUCUCCUAAGGCUAAAUACUCUCUAGUGACCGAUAGUGAACCAGUACCGUGAGGGAAAGGUGAAAAGUACCCCGGAAGGGGAGUGAAAGAGAACUUGAAACCGUGUGCUUACAAGUAGUCAGAGCCCGUUAAUGGGUGAUGGCGUGCCUUUUGUAGAAUGAACCGGCGAGUUACGAUCUGAUGCAAGGUUAAGCAGCAAAUGUGGAGCCGCAGCGAAAGCGAGUCUGAAUAGGGCGUUGAGUAUUUGGUCGUAGACCCGAAACCAGGUGAUCUACCCUUGGUCAGGUUGAAGUUCAGGUAACACUGAAUGGAGGACCGAACCGACUUACGUUGAAAAGUGAGCGGAUGAACUGAGGGUAGCGGAGAAAUUCCAAUCGAACUUGGAGAUAGCUGGUUCUCUCCGAAAUAGCUUUAGGGCUAGCCUCAAGUGAUGAUUAUUGGAGGUAGAGCACUGUUUGGACGAGGGGCCCCUCUCGGGUUACCGAAUUCAGACAAACUCCGAAUGCCAAUUAAUUUAACUUGGGAGUCAGAACAUGGGUGAUAAGGUCCGUGUUCGAAAGGGAAACAGCCCAGACCACCAGCUAAGGUCCCAAAAUAUAUGUUAAGUGGAAAAGGAUGUGGCGUUGCCCAGACAACUAGGAUGUUGGCUUAGAAGCAGCCAUCAUUUAAAGAGUGCGUAAUAGCUCACUAGUCGAGUGACACUGCGCCGAAAAUGUACCGGGGCUAAACAUAUUACCGAAGCUGUGGAUUGUCCUUUGGACAAUGGUAGGAGAGCGUUCUAAGGGCGUCGAAGCAUGAUCGCAAGGACAUGUGGAGCGCUUAGAAGUGAGAAUGCCGGUGUGAGUAGCGAAAGACGGGUGAGAAUCCCGUCCACCGAUUGACUAAGGUUUCCAGAGGAAGGCUCGUCCGCUCUGGGUUAGUCGGGUCCUAAGCUGAGGCCGACAGGCGUAGGCGAUGGAUAACAGGUUGAUAUUCCUGUACCACCUAGUAUCGUUUUAAUCGAUGGGGGGACGCAGUAGGAUAGGCGAAGCGUGCUGUUGGAGUGCACGUCCAAGCAGUAAGGCUGAGUGUUAGGCAAAUCCGGCACUCAUAAGGCUGAGCUGUGAUGGGGAGAGGAAAUUGUUUCCUCGAGUCGUUGAUUUCACACUGCCGAGAAAAGCCUCUAGAUAGAUAACAGGUGCCCGUACCGCAAACCGACACAGGUAGUCAAGAUGAGAAUUCUAAGGUGAGCGAGCGAACUCUCGUUAAGGAACUCGGCAAAAUGACCCCGUAACUUCGGGAGAAGGGGUGCUCUUUAGGGUU
rnacentral:rRNA from 1 species